AAUCCAUAGGUUAAUGAGGCGAACCGGGGGAACUGAAACAUCUAAGUACCCCGAGGAAAAGAAAUCAACCGAGAUUCCCCCAGUAGCGGCGAGCGAACGGGGAGGAGCCCAGAGCCUGAAUCAGCAUGUGUGUUAGUGGAAGCGUCUGGAAAGGCGCGCGAUACAGGGUGACAGCCCCGUACACAAAAGCGCAUGUGCUGUGAGCUCGAUGAGUAGGGCGGGACACGUGGUAUCCUGUCUGAAUAUGGGGGGACCAUCCUCCAAGGCUAAAUACUCCUGACUGACCGAUAGUGAACCAGUACCGUGAGGGAAAGGCGAAAAGAACCCCGGCGAGGGGAGUGAAAAAGAACCUGAAACCGUGUACGUACAAGCAGUGGGAGCACCCUUUGGGUGUGACUGCGUACCUUUUGUAUAAUGGGUCAGCGACUUAUAUUCUGUAGCAAGGUUAACCGAAUAGGGGAGCCGGAGGGAAACCGAGUCUUAACCGGGCGUUAAGUUGCAGGGUAUAGACCCGAAACCCGGUGAUCUAGCCAUGGGCAGGUUGAAGGUUGGGUAACACUAACUGGAGGACCGAACCGACUAAUGUUGAAAAAUUAGCGGAUGACCUGUGGCUGGGGGUGAAAGGCCAAUCAAACCGGGAGAUAGCUGGUUCUCCCCGAAAGCUAUUUAGGUAGCGCCUCGUGAAUUCAUCUCCGGGGGUAGAGCACUGUUUCGGCUAGGGGGCCAUCCCGGCUUACCAACCCGAUGCAAACUGCGAAUACCGGAGAAUGUUAUCACGGGAGACACACGGCGGGUGCUAACGUCCGUCGUGAAGAGGGAAACAACCCAGACCGCCAGCUAAGGUCCCAAAGUCAUGGUUAAGUGGGAAACGAUGUGGGAAGGCCCAGACAGCCAGGAUGUUGGCUUAGAAGCAGCCAUCAUUUAAAGAAAGCGUAAUAGCUCACUGGUCGAGUCGGCCUGCGCGGAAGAUGUAACGGGGCUAAACCAUGCACCGAAGCUGCGGCAGCGACACUGUGUGUUGUUGGGUAGGGGAGCGUUCUGUAAGCCUGCGAAGGUGGCCUGUGAGGGUUGCUGGAGGUAUCAGAAGUGCGAAUGCUGACAUAAGUAACGAUAAAGCGGGUGAAAAGCCCGCUCGCCGGAAGACCAAGGGUUCCUGUCCAACGUUAAUCGGGGCAGGGUGAGUCGACCCCUAAGGCGAGGCCGAAAGGCGUAGUCGAUGGGAAACGGGUUAAUAUUCCCGUACUUGGUGUUACUGCGAAGGGGGGACGGAGAAGGCUAUGUUGGCCGGGCGACGGUUGUCCCGGUUUAAGCGUGUAGGUGUGUGUUCCAGGUAAAUCCGGUUCACUUUAACACUGAGGCGUGACGACGAGGCACUACGGUGCUGAAGCAACAAAUGCCCUGCUUCCAGGAAAAGCCUCUAAGCAUCAGGUAACAUCAAAUCGUACCCCAAACCGACACAGGUGGUCAGGUAGAGAAUACCAAGGCGCUUGAGAGAACUCGGGUGAAGGAACUAGGCAAAAUGGUGCCGUAACUUCGGGAGAAGGCACGCUGACACGUAGGUGAAGUGAUUUACUCAUGGAGCUGAAGUCAGUCGAAGAUACCAGCUGGCUGCAACUGUUUAUUAAAAACACAGCACUGUGCAAACACGAAAGUGGACGUAUACGGUGUGACGCCUGCCCGGUGCCGGAAGGUUAAUUGAUGGGGUCAGCGCAAGCGAAGCUCCUGAUCGAAGCCCCGGUAAACGGCGGCCGUAACUAUAACGGUCCUAAGGUAGCGAAAUUCCUUGUCGGGUAAGUUCCGACCUGCACGAAUGGCGUAAUGAUGGCCAGGCUGUCUCCACCCGAGACUCAGUGAAAUUGAACUCGCUGUGAAGAUGCAGUGUACCCGCGGCAAGACGGAAAGACCCCGUGAACCUUUACUAUAGCUUGACACUGAACAUUGAGCCUUGAUGUGUAGGAUAGGUGGGAGGCUUUGAAGUGUGGACGCCAGUCUGCAUGGAGCCGACCUUGAAAUACCACCCUUUAAUGUUUGAUGUUCUAACGUGGACCCGUUACCCGGGUUGCGGACAGUGUCUGGUGGGUAGUUUGACUGGGGCGGUCUCCUCCUAAAGAGUAACGGAGGAGCACGAAGGUUGGCUAAUCCUGGUCGGACAUCAGGAGGUUAGUGCAAUGGCAUAAGCCAGCUUGACUGCGAGCGUGACGGCGCGAGCAGGUGCGAAAGCAGGUCAUAGUGAUCCGGUGGUUCUGAAUGGAAGGGCCAUCGCUCAACGGAUAAAAGGUACUCCGGGGAUAACAGGCUGAUACCGCCCAAGAGUUCAUAUCGACGGCGGUGUUUGGCACCUCGAUGUCGGCUCAUCACAUCCUGGGGCUGAAGUAGGUCCCAAGGGUAUGGCUGUUCGCCAUUUAAAGUGGUACGCGAGCUGGGUUUAGAACGUCGUGAGACAGUUCGGUCCCUAUCUGCCGUGGGCGCUGGAGAACUGAGGGGGGCUGCUCCUAGUACGAGAGGACCGGAGUGGACGCAUCACUGGUGUUCGGGUUGUCAUGCCAAUGGCACUGCCCGGUAGCUAAAUGCGGAAGAGAUAAGUGCUGAAAGCAUCUAAGCACGAAACUUGCCCCGAGAUGAGUUCUCCCUGAGACUUAAAGUCUCCUGAAGGAACGUUGAAGACGACGACGU
rnacentral:rRNA from 1 species